rnacentral:lncRNA from 1 species
GUGUUAAAACAUAACCAAACACUCCAGGACCUUGGGAAAGAAAUCUGUAUCAGACAUGUGGGCUUCAUUAAGGGAAAUGCCUUCAGAAGAUUAUUUUUCCAUGUUAUGAGAAAAAAUCUCAACAACCACAGCAGAUGUUCCAGUGCCCAGGUGACCUAGAAGCUUCAUGUGGAGGUGAUGGAACUUCAGUAGGCCUGGAAGUGAUGCAGUAUCUUCUGCCCUCAAUCUUGUGAUGAAUGUUUUCUCAGUAUCCUAUGCUGAAAACAGGUAGAUACUAAUAUCGAUCUUCAAGGGAGGGCUGUUGAGUAUUGAAUAAGACAAAAACAUGGAAGCAAUCAGCACCAUGCUGGAGAGCCUUUAUAUAACCAAAGAUAUUUUUGGACCAUGAAUUCAGAAAUUCUCGGAGCCACCCAUCAGUGCCUGAGCUUCAGUGAGUCCAUAUCCCAUGUCACCCACGGCAAAGGAGACUCUAAGACUUCUGAAGAGUUUCUUGCUUCUUUCCUGUGGGGCAGUGACUCCACUUCCCAGCAGUAAUGGAAUAUCCUGAAUUAGCUACAUUAAUGUUAGAACCAUUUGGACCUCACCCAGGACUUCAACUACAUUAUGAGUAACUCCUGGACGAUUGGCACAGAAGAAGGCACAAGGCAAAUACCCAUCUCUGUACACCCUGUGCUACUGUGUCAUGUGCUGCUCCAGGCAACUCCAAUGGAUUGGCCACCCUGGCCAAUGUGUUCUAGUAUGUUACGUUUAUGUUCCCCUGCUUUCUACAAUCCUGUUCAAAGAGUUGCUGACUUAACCACAGAGAGGAUUCCAGAACCUGAGACACAGAAUAAACUUGAGCAAUCAUAGUCCAUCCACUUCAUUGUCUCAUCAAAAACCAAAGGUCCAGUGAAGCUCUGGAACUCAACGCUGUAAAGGAGCGAAGGAGCUUCUAUACAGA